GGUAGCAGGCGGCGCUCCUGGAUUAGGGCGCGGGAUUCCGAUCUGCCCAGCCCUGUUUCUUGUCUCUCGCCAGCACCGAUUUGCAACGCGGAGGGCUUGGUUGUUGCGGUUGGGACCGGGACCGUUUUGGGGAAGGGCUGUAGCUUUGUCGGGUGGCGUUACAGUAGCGCCAGGAGUGGAAGGAAGCCCGGAGACCGGGAUUGACGUAGCACGAGGCUCGGCCAGGAUCCGGACAGUUUCAGCUCGGCCCGUGCUUUUUAUGCGACUCGCAAGCAUUUCCACCAGGCGGUGCUGAGUUUACUACCCCAAAGGAAAGGAAAGGGGCGGAGAAAUAUAAAGGCACGCAAUAUCGAAACAAGUUAGAAAGAACGGACUUGGAUCACAGAAUCAUCUUUUUCCAGGCUCCAGGAUUGGUUCGGGAACCUCGGGACAGGCUACUCCAGAUCCUUCCUUUCCGCCUGGUCCCACCCCCCGGACUUGAGGCUGCACAGCCUGCGGCUUCCGACCGACGUGCCUUCGCAGAUGCAGCCAGCCCCACCUUGGCCUGUGUGGAAAUGCCCCAAGGAGAGAAUUUCCCAAUCUCGCAAAGGCCGUUUGUUCCAUUGUAUAAACGUCCUUGUCCUUAACGACGUAUUUCAUAA